rnacentral:tRNA from 1 species
CCCUGGUCAGCUCAGCUGGCAGAGCGCUCCAUUGGAAAUGGAGAGGUCCCGGGUUCGAUACCCGGACCAGUGG